ensembl:lncRNA
AAUAAAGGUUGAGAGAUAAGUCUGGGGGCAAUAAUUUUAGAAACUUCCAAGUGAAACUGUCAAGUAAUUUCUUUGAAGGCACUUUUUAAUAUGUAUUUCAGAAAAUGAACAAUUUGUAGGAUGUCAAACAUCUUUAAUUGAAAUUUCUGUGCCUUUGCUUUAAUAAAUUCACUUCAUUUACUUCAUCCUUAAAAUUCUCUCCUUAAGUGGUCAGCACUUAUUAAGAGAGUGAUGUGAUUUACGUGGAAUUCUGCUCAGUUCUAUUUUCAUUGAUGAAAAGAGAAGUCCCCAUCAGUUGUGCUGCAAAUAUGCGGAUGUUUUUCUGAGGAGACACGGGAGGACAAGGAAUGCUGAUGUGGCCUCAAGUGUCCAUAGGAUUUGGAGGAGGAUUACAAGAGAAUAACAAGAUGCUCUUGCACUACAAUUUCAGAUUCCACUUCUCAAAAGCUGAUGACGUUGAGAUUCAGGAUUCUUGCUGGAUUCUGCAGCGAAGUGUUCUGGGAGAUUGAUGCUGCACUGAGGAGCCUGAGGGAUGGAGACUACAACCGAGCUUCCUAAGUUGAGAAAAGCAACAAAACAGGUUAGUAGAAGGAAAAAAAAAGAGAAGAGAAGAGAAGAGAAGAGAAGAGAAGAGAAGAGAAGAGAAGAGAAGAGAAGAGAAGAGAAGAGAAGAGAAGAGAAGAGAAGAGAAGAGAAAAGAGAAAAGAAAAGAAAAGAAAAAAGAGAAGAGAAGAGAAGAGAAGAGAAGAGAAGAGAAGAGAAGAGAAGAGAAGAGAAGAGAAGAGAAGAGAAGAGAAGAGAAGAGAAGAGAAGAGAAGAGAAGAGAAGAGAAGAGAAGAGAAGAGAAGAGAAGGAAAAGAAAAGAGAAAAG